UUCCUUACUCUCCUUUGUUUCAGA
rnacentral:snRNA from 1 species